ensembl:lncRNA
CUUUAUGUCAAUUAAUAAUGAUUUGCACCGGCCACUGAGGAGGAUCUUGUGUGUGUGUGUGUGCUGCCCUCAGCUUCACCUGGGUUCUUAUCUCAACCUGCUUUGUAGCUUCUCGUAACUGGCACGGAGAAUGUUCUUCACAUGUGUAUAAAAACUCAGCGUUUUCACUGCUCGGAGACGUCAUUACGCCGAGCGCUGAGAUACGUGCUAGUGUGUUGGACCUCCUGCUUGCAAGCAACAGUUAGAGCCAGAUGUCUGCGGAGAAUUGCUCAUGUAAUCUUUUUCUCUUCUAAAUAAAUGUUAACUUUUGACUUUAAUUGAUCAACGUGCUGCGAUUCUUCUCAUCAACCAACUCGGGGGGAUCGGAGAUCCUGACAAUUUGGGGGCUCGUCCGGGAUGAGAGGUUUUCCUGCACAGGCGGAUUCGAUCUAAAACGCUUACACCUGCUGAACGCGACGUACUCCCAGGUCGGCCUCAAAACAAGAUUUUGCGGACCAGGUGUGAGACAAAACAGGGGAUCAGAACGCCCACAACCCCCACACGGAAGCCUGGGUCCUCCUGAGGGUCAUUAAGAGGAAGUGGUCGGAGCCGCGGUGGACCGGACCAUACCAGGUGGAGGAGAGAACCUCACAUGCAGCGAGAAUGAGAGGGAAAGGUGAUACCUGGUACCACUGGAGCCAGUGUGCCACCGCAGAGGAACCAGCUCGCACUCUCCAGGACGUCCUGAAGGAUCAGGAGCAAGAGGCGGCAACGGUCCCCAAACGGUCCCCAAACGCACUCUCUACGGGCAGUUGACUGACAGACACCCAGAGCAUGGUGAUCUGUGUCGACUGUCUACAACCAAGAAGACCAAGAAUAAUUGUAUAACCAUCCUCUCUUCUGUUCUAUCUUUCUCAACUCUCCGCAUUAGUUUAGCAAAAAAAAAAAAACAAGAACAAGACACGAUCCCAUUAUUGGCCUGGAAAGGAGGCAAGAUGAGGAGGCUGAUCCAGCAGACGUUCUCCAACAGCUGGGGUGAUCUCUGAAGAGAUCAAAAGGGGGAAUUGUGAGAUGCAUGUACUGAUAAAAUAUAUUAUAACAAUGUUUUGUGCUAAAGCCGUGUCUGAAGUGUAUUUGACCCUGAUGUGCAAAGAGCAGCAUGAUACAAAAUGUUAGUUUGUUUCGUUAGCUGUGUCCUGAGAAGGGAGGAUGGUUAACUUGAUCUCAUAGACUCUUCAAAACAAAGGACUUCUGUUCAUGGCCUUGGUUCAUAUCUUAUUCGGUACGAAAGUUCCGGAUCCACGUUUUUACUUUAUGUCAAUUAAUUAUGAUUUGCACCGCCACACUAUGCACUUAUUGUACGUCGCUUUGGAAAAAAGCGUCCGCUAAAUGACAUGU